GUCGAGAAUAAUUCACAAUGGACGAAAGUCUGAUGGUGCAACGCCGCGUGGAGGAUGACGGUCUUCGGAUUGUAAACUCCUGUCAUCCGGGAGUAAGACCUGGCUGUGAAUAGCAGACAGGGUUGAUAGUACCGGAAGAGGAAGGGACGGCUAACUUCGUGCCAGCAGCCGCGGUAAUACGAAGGUCCCGAGCGUUGUUCGGAAUCACUGGGCGUAAAGGGAGCGUAGGCGGCGUGGUAAGUCAGAUGUGAAAUCCCGGGGCUCAACCCCGGAACUGCAUCCGAUACUGCCGUGCUAGAGGAUUGGAGAGGUAGCUGGAAUUCUUGGUGUAGCAGUGAAAUGCGUGGAGAUCAAGAGGAACACUCGUGGCGAAAGCGAGCUACUGGACAAUAUCUGACGCUGAGGCUCGAAGGCCAGGGUAGCGAAAGGGAUUAGAUACCCUGGUAGUCC
rnacentral:rRNA from 1 species